rnacentral:rRNA from 1 species
CAAAGGGCUCACGGAGGAUACCUAGGCACACAGAGGCGAUGAAGGACGUGGUUACCUGCGAUAAGUCUCGGGGAGUUGGAAGCACACUUUGAUCCGGGAAUUUCCGAAUGGGGCAACCCCUUGAACGACCAACUGAAUAUAUAGGUUGGUGCGAGCUAACCCAGCGAACUGAAACAUCUUAGUAGCUGGAGGAAGAGAAAGUAAAUAACGACUCCCUCAGUAGCGGCGAGCGAACUGGGAAUAGCCCAAACCGAUAGUCUUGACUAUCGGGGUUGUGGGACAGCAAUAUGGAUCAACAAUUCUAGAAGAAACGUUUGAAUGGCGUGCCAUAGAGGGUGAAAGCCCCGUAAUUGAAAGAUGAGUUGACCUAGCUGUAUCCCGAGUAGCACGGAGCACGUGGAAUUCCGUGUGAAUCUGCGAGGACCACCUCGUAAGGCUAAGUACUACUGUGUGACCGAUAGUGAAACAGUACCGCGAGGGAAAGGUGAAAAGAACCCCGGGAGGGGAGUGAAAUAGAACAUGAAACCGUGAGCUUACAAGCAAUGGGAGCCCGACUAAUCGGGUGACCGUGUGCCUGUUGAAGAAUGAGCCGGCGACUUAUAGGCACUGGCGGGUUAAACCGGAAAUGGUGGAGCCACAGCGAAAGCGAGUCUUAAUAGGGCGUUUGUCAGUGUUUAUAGACCCGAACCCUGGUGAUCUAACCAUGGCCAGGAUGAAGCUUGGGUGAUACCAAGUGGAGGUCCGAACCGACUGAAGUUGAAAAUUCAGCGGAUGAGCUGUGGUUAGGGGUGAAAUGCCAAUCGAACCAGGAGCUAGCUGGUUCUCCCCGAAAUACGUUGAGGCGUAGCGUCUAGUGCUCCAGCAGGGGGGUAAAGCAACCAUUUCGGUGCGGGCUGCGAAAGCGGUACCAAAUCGAUAUGAACUCUGAAUACCCUGUGUGUAACUAGGCAGUCAGACUGUGGGGGAUAAGCUCCAUAGUCAAGAGGGAAACAGCCCAGACCGCCAGCUAAGGUCCCAAAAUUAACGCUAAGUGAUAAAGGAGGUGGGAUUGCCCAGACAACCAGGAGGUUUGCCUAGAAGCAGCCAUCCUCAAAGGAGUGCGUAAUAGCUCACUGGUCGAGCGAUCCUGCGCCGAAAAUGAAUGGGGCUAAGCGUUAUACCGAAGCUGCGGAUAAAUUUAUUUAUGGUAGGGGAGCGUUCUAUGUUGGGUGAAGCGUUAGCGUAAGCGGACGUGGACGGCAUAGAAGUGAGAAUGUCGGCUUGAGUAGCGAAAACAUGGGUGAGAAUCCCAUGCCCCGAAACCCUAAGGGUUCCUCCGGCAGGCUCGUCCGCGGAGGGUUAGUCUGGACCUAAGGCGAGGCCGAAAGGCGUAGUCGAUGGAUAACAGGUCAAUAUUCCUGUACCAGUUAUGUUUUGGGAAGGGGGACGGAGAAGGCUAGCCAGGCCAGAUGUUGGUUACUGGUUCAAGCGUUCAAGGCUUUGAGAGAUGGAGAAAACAUCUUGAGCUGAGGCGUGAGUACGAGCUGCUACGGCAGCGAAGUUGGUGAUGUCAUGCUUCCAAGAAAAGCCCUAUACCCGUUAAGACAUAAAUGCCAGUACCCGAAACCGACACAGGUGGGGUGGUAGAGAAUACCGAGGGGCGCGAGAUAACUCUCUCUAAGGAACUCGGCAAAAUGGCCCCGUAACUUCGGGAGAAGGGGUGCCAGCGAGAGCUGGUCGCAGUGAAGAGGCGCAAGCGACUGUUUACCAAAAACACAGGUCUCCGCUAAGUCGCAAGACGAUGUAUGGGGGCUGACACCUGCCCAGUGCCGGAAGGUUAAGGAAGCUGGUUAGCUUUUAGCAAAGCUAGCGACUGAAGCCCCGGUGAACGGCGGCCGUAACUAUAACGGUCCUAAGGUAGCGAAAUUCCUUGUCGGGUAAGUUCCGACCCGCACGAAAGGUGUAACGAUUUGCGCGCUGUCUCGGAGAGAGGCUCGGCGAAAUAGAAUUGUCUGUGAAGAUGCGGACUACAUACACCCGGACAGAAAGACCCUAUGAAGCUUUACUGUAGUUUGAUAUUGUGCUCGGGCUCUAAUUGCGCAGAAUAGGUGGGAGACGUUGAAAUAGUACUUGUGGGUAUUAUUGAGUCAUCGGUGAGAUACCACUCUAUUAGAGCUAGGGUUCUAACGCUUACCCGUUAUCCGGGAAGCGGACAGUAUCUGAUGGGCAGUUUGACUGGGGCGGUCGCCUCCUAAAAGGUAACGGAGGCGCACAAAGGUUCCCUCAGGCUGGUUGGAAAUCAGUCGUUGAGUGCAAAAGCAGAAGGGAGCUUGACUGUGAGACCUACAAGUCGAACAGGGACGAAAGUCGGUUUUAGUGAUCCGACGGUUCUGCGUGGAAGGGCCGUCGCUCAACGGAUAAAAGUUACUCUAGGGAUAACAGGCUGAUCUCCCCCAAGAGUUCACAUCGACGGGGAGGUUUGGCACCUCGAUGUCGGCUCAUCGCAACCUGGGGCUGAAGUCGGUCCCAAGGGUUGGGCUGUUCGCCCAUUAAAGCGGUACGCGAGCUGGGUUCAGAACGUCGUGAGACAGUUCGGUCCAUAUCCGGUGUAUGCGCAGGAAUAUUGAGAGGAUUUCUCCCUAGUACGAGAGGACCGGGAGGAACGCACCUCUGGUGUGCCAGUUAUCGUGCCAACGGUAAACGCUGGGUAGCCAUGUGCGGAGUGGAUAACCGCUGAAAGCAUCUAAGUGGGAAGCCCACCUCAAGAUGAGUAUUGCCAUGGCUUAAGCCAGUAAGGUCACGGGAAGAACACCCGUUGAUAGGCUCUACGUGGAAGCUUGGUAACAAGUGCAGCGGAGGAGUACUAAUAGACCGAGGGCUUGACCA